rnacentral:rRNA from 1 species
UACGAAGGGGGCUAGCGUUGCUCGGAAUGACUGGGCGUAAAGGGCGCGUAGGCGGAUGGCACAGUCAGAUGUGAAAUUCCCGGGCUUAACCUGGGGGCUGCAUUUGAUACGUGUGAUCUAGAGUGAGGAAGAGGGUCGUGGAAUUCCCAGUGUAGAGGUGAAAUUCGUAGAUAUUGGGAAGAACACCGGUGGCGAAGGCGGCGACCUGGUCCUUGACUGACGCUGAGGCGCGAAAGCGUGGGUAGCAAACAGG